rnacentral:tRNA from 1 species
UCCCUGGUGGUCUAGCAGCUAAGGAUCCCGUGCUCUCACCGCCGUGGCCUGGGUUUAAUUCCUGGGCAGGGAA